rnacentral:rRNA from 1 species
CCUACGGGUGGCAGCAGUGAGGAAUAUUGGUCAAUGGGCGGGAGCCUGAACCAGCCAAGCCGCGUGAGGGAAGAAGGUACAGCGUAUCGUAAACCUCUUUUGUCAGGGAACAAAGGCGGGGACUAGUCCCCGGAUGAGGGUACCUGAAGAAAAAGCAUCGGCUAACUCCGUGCCAGCAGCCGCGGUAAUACGGAGGAUGCGAGCGUUAUCCGGAUUUAUUGGGUUUAAAGGGUGCGCAGGCGGCCUGUUAAGUCAGCGGGAAAAGCCCGGGGCUCAACCCCGGCGAGCCGUGGAAACUGGCGGGCUGGAGUUGGAGAGAGGUACGUGGAAUGCGCGGUGUAGCGGUGAAAUGCUUAGAUAUCGCGCAGAACCCCGAUUGCGAAGGCAGCGUACCGGCUCCACACUGACGCUGAGGCACGAAAGCGUGGGUAUCGAACAGGAUUAGAUACCCUAGUAGUC